rnacentral:rRNA from 1 species
AUACGGAGGAUCCGAGCGUUAUCCGGAUUUAUUGGGUUUAAAGGGAGCGUAGGUGGACAUGUAAGUCAGUUGUGAAAGUUUGCGGCUCAACCGUAAAAUUGCAGUUGAUACUGUGUGUCUUGAGUACAGUAGAGGUGGGCGGAAUUCGUGGUGUAGCGGUGAAAUGCUUAGAUAUCACGAAGAACUCCGAUUGCGAAGGCAGCUCACUGGACUGUUACUGACACUGAGGCUCGAAAGUGUGGGUAUCAAACAGGAUUAGAUACCCUGGUAGUCCACACAGUAAACGAUGAAUACUCGCUGUUUGCGAUAUACGGCAAGCGGCCAAGCGAAAGCAUUAAGUAUUCCACCUGGGGAGUACGCCGGCAACGGUGAAACUCAAAGGAAUUGGCGGGG